GAGGCGCAUCCAGUUGCACGAAGCCCUUGAAACGCCUCCGCCAUCCUCGCCGCGCCGCAGCACGGCGUGCUGGCCGGGCUCCCCUGGCGCAGCCGAUUUCUUCCAUCCGAGCGAUUAGCCUCCCAACAUCUCCCCCAAAGUGCGCGCCGUGCGCCGAUCCCCACCCGCGACGCCGCACCGCACCGCAUUGCCCGCGCCGGAGCCGCUCUCCUUCGACGUGGACGACGCCCGGCGGUCUCUCCGGCGCCACCCCAAGAGACCGUUUCACCUCGCUCCUGCCAGUUUAUUCAUGGACGGGAAUAGUCUUUCACGAGUGCAAAGAAUGGUCAAAUCUGUAGCAAACUAAGAUGUUACGGUAAGCGUCCUGAAAGCGACUACUCUUGUUUAUUCUGUAUUGACAAUUGACACGAAUAUAUAGUUACGGAACUAGCUACAUUAUUAGCAUCAUUCUGACCAUUUAGCUUUGUCUUGCAGAUUUGACAUCUUGUUUUCCUUUAGUAUGCCAAACAUGCAGCUAGCCAUUAUAUUGGUCAUGAGUUGAUAAUAUGAUAUCUACUCAAGCUUAUUCCCCGCAAUCACACCAUGAAAAAUCUGACUUCUGAAAAUUAUGAGUAAAUUCCAUUUUUUACCCUCUAGUUUCAGAUUCCGGACAACGGUUACCCCAUUUAACAAAAAGUCUUCCAGUUUACCCCAUUUAGAAGAAUUUGUGCCAAUUUUUACCCCAUCUAACGUUUUAUCAUUUUCUUUAGCUGGACCAGGUUAUCGUGUUAUUUGCGUUUUAUCGUUGAGGGCGCAUUUUGGAGCUAAUACACUUUAUCCUUGACAAUAUUUCCCUCCCAGUACUCUCCAGCCUGUGUUACACCGCCGUCUGGCACAUCGCGCCCUCUCUCACUGGUCGCUGCACAACCUGGGUAUCAGUUCCUUGAUCUCAUCUCCUAGCUGCUCCUAGAUUAGUUGUAUCAAUCUAUUGGCUGAAACCUACCGGAGAAGCUACACCAUGCAUACGCAGGCGUGCUGCUAUGUACUAGUAGCAGACCAAGAACAAAAUGCAUGUAUUAAGAGUACAACCAAGUAUACAUACAUCAAUCGGUUGACUACAACUAGUGCACUAGAAUGAAAGCUAACAAUUACUCUCGUUUAGUUGUCUCUAGCCAGCUGAACAAGGCAGUGUCGUGGUACCCGUCAACUCAUGUCGGCAAUGAUUUGGUUGCACAAUCCCACAAAGAGUUUGCUAUUUUGCCAAUACACGAGAGUACCAUGCUAUUGCCCUAGUGUGGUACUAGUAAUACGGAUUAUUGUGAAGUUAAGGAGAGCAUGGCCGAGAGAGAGCGAACACGGUGUGACUGUGUAAACGAAUUAAGAGGGUAAAAACCGGCACAAACUUCACUAAAUGGGGUAAGAAAAAGGAAUUUCUGCUAAAUGGGGUAAUUAGUGUGUUAUGUGGCUGCUAGGGUUUGGGAGGGAGAGAGAGGGCUGCGAGGGCGCGAGAAGGCCGGACGGGGGCCUUUUGCCCACGGCCGGGCAAGAGGGAAGGGAUUUCCUUCUUAAUUCUUGCUUGAUUAGAUUGAUACAUCUCCUCUCCAUAUAUAGAGAGGUUUACUUGACUCCCAAGCAAGGCUUACUUGACCCCUAAGCAAACCAUAAGACUAACGGGCCCAGGCCCAUGACGUACUCUAACAUAGUGUUACAAACGUAAAACUACAGGGUAAAAAAUGGAAUUCACUCGAAAAUUAUUGACAAAAUAUGGCCUUUUUUAACACGAUAUUUGCGUGAUGUGUGCAUUAGUUAGACAUGAUCCAGCAAGCUUGUUCUAUUAUUAAAUGUAUGGUGUAGUUAGUUUGUUCUGUGGGUACAGUGGCAAAGCUAAGCUGUCUAUUAUUUUCAUCGGACACUUCACUGUGAUCUUUUCUACUUGAACAGGGGGAAUGUAAGUUCAGUUAAAUGUAUAUGAACUGGUAGGUACUCAACAUGAAGGGUAUUUUGAGUGCCUAUCAGAUCAUUAUGCCGCUGGUAUGCCCACAUCAAAAACUAGGGUGUCCUAAUUUUUUGUGCCCCACGCCCCCACAGCCACGGCAGGUUUGCACGCAGCAGAAAUUAUAGUGGUGGGGUUCUGUCCAUGAAUGAACUUUUCAGGUUUACAUGCAUGCCACUAGAGUUUGAAUCAUCAGGGGGAUUUCUCAUUAUUAGCUGGGGGGCUGCAUCUUGAAGAAGUCAUAUGUUGGAGCAGCAUGGCAGACGGAAAAGUCACAUCUUCCCCCUUUUAACGACUUAGUGACUUUGAAACGCAAUAGUUUACAGUGGCCGGCGGCAACAGUCCAGGUUAAUGAUGCUUCUCUGAAUCGUUUUGAUUUUGUGCUGAUUAAAGUUAACUUUUGGAAGCAGUCAUGCCACAACACGUACACACGCACACAGGCACUUCGUUCUGUCAGAUCUCUGCCUACCAUAUUGCUGUCAGAAAAAAAUUUAGUGCAUGAGAGGACCUGGGUGAAAUCCUGUUUGCUGGUAAAGUUGCAACACCAUAACUGUUGGCUGGCAAACCUUUUCUUGUUACUAGAUUUGCAAAAAGCCUCCCAGCUGCUUGACGCCAGUGCCCACCGACCAUGUAGGCACACACCCUGAGUGGUGGGCCAACUAAUCUCCCUUUUCCACCUGGAUCACCACUCUAUGUCCUAGUCCCCGCCAUCAGCCAUUUCCAAACUCCAAAGGGAGUGCUUUGAAGUGUCGUACCAUCACUACUUGAACCGAAUCGCGGUGAAGUGGUGUUCUAGCAGCUUUAGAAGUAAUAGUACUGCCACUUUAAGCUAACAGGGAAAUAAAUUGAAGUUAAGAGAGCAUUGCCUAUAUUGUUAUGGAUUUAACUUCGGACCUUAGCUUAUAUAAUUCAGCUAAUGCCAUCACUGCUGCUUUGUGUAACUCAUGUUGUCAUGUAGUAUAUCUUGAAAGGCAUCUCGUACAAUAUUCUUUCGGUAAACGAAAACGACUGAAACCAUCCUAAUGUACCAAUUUCUUUCCCAAAAGUGGACAGAUAUUUGUGUGGCAGGUACGUUGGAGAAGAACUAAGUGGGGAGGAACUAAUAUGCUGAACUGGUGGCAAGAAUGGUUACACCACGCACCACAAGGCGACCACUCAUUCAUUGCGGAGAAAUGUGCCACAAUAUCAGAUGUUUUAAUCAUGGUAAAUCAUCGUCUGGAGUUUUUUUUUGUGGGUUUUUUAUGAUUUCUUGUUGUCACUUGUUAGGCCCUUAAAAGCUUCCAUUACCUGAUUGGGUGGUAUUUCUGUUCAGGCGUCGAUAUGUUAAUGAGCUUUACUUUUACUUUCUUUAAAUAUACUCUUUUGUUCCCAGAUGGUGUGGUAGUAAAUGGUAUCCUUCGAUAUUAAUAUAUUCCCUUUAUCGAAAAGAUGGUGUGGUAGUUUACACUACCUGGUUGGGUGUUAAAAUUUAUAUAUGUGCAUCUCCAGUUUUAGGAUCCUUAAGGGUGCUCCUAAGAUACACACAAGAUGCACUUCUUACACUGUAAAUCUUCAUCCAAACACCUACAUUUCUACGCAAUGAUGUGCUACUUUAAUCGUGAGGAUCACUUUCAUUCUGUUGAAUUUUUUGAAGAGAGUCCCCGAGUUUGGAGAACCUGGUGCAAGAACGGCAACACUCAAUGGGACUGGAUGGCUGCUGGUUUUCCACUAAAUCCCUCAGGGUCAACAUAAUUGAGGUGUGGCACUUUCUGGGAUUGGCAACACAAGACGGUCAGCUCAGCUCUCCCUGAAUCCCCAGAUUCCAUGAGGGCUUUUCUUUUGAGAGGCAAAGACCCAUGUUCUCUGCAGUGGGUAUGCGGCUAGAUGGAUCAAUUAACUAGUGCUGGUGACCACUAAAAACAAGGGGUGCUGCUUCCGAAAAUCAAUCAGCCUGAAGAAUCCCCGGUAAAAGGAGGCACAACUAGAAGCGUAAAAGGAGCAUUUUGGAAUGAUUCCAAGGCCACAUGCAGCGGCUGCAUACCAAUCCUAUUGUAUAAACAAGGAGGAGAGCUUCCUGGGGACAUGUUGGUUUCGGUUUAGUUAUUCUGCUACUUUGGGCUAGGUUGUGGUUGCUAUACUUAACUAUGAAAGUACCUUUAGGGAAAAUCUUAUUCCUUGUCUUCUUUUCUAAUUCGAGUAAGAUUUUUCUCAGUAUACAACUAUAUACAUGAACGUCCAUGUCAGUGCAAAGUGGAACUUCCAUUUUUCAGAAAUGGUGCUCUGGAAUUUACAUUGUUGCUUUGCCUUUAGAAUCUGUAGCCAUAAUUAUGUUUUAGAAACUAUCUGAAUCAUAUUCCGUUUACUAGUAAUUGAUUGGUUCUGGCUUUUGACUUUUGAGAAAAUAUAUACAGAGGGCUUUGUCACCACAUUUUUGUGUGACGCCGUACUGAACCGCCGAACAUAAGUUUCGCAUUCCGGAAUAAGAACAAGAAACGAAGACGACUGCGACUUGCAAAGGUAAAAGAAAAAUAGUACACUCCAGCUACCUAGGGGAUUCGAGUAAUUAGUUACCUGCG